CCUACGGGAGGCUGCAGUGAGGAAUAUUGGUCAAUGGACGAGAGUCUGAACCAGCCAAGUAGCGUGAAGGAUGACUGCCCUAUGGGUUGUAAACUUCUUUUAUAUGGGAAUAAAAUGUUCCACGUGUGGGAUUUUGUAUGUACCAUAUGAAUAAGGAUCGGCUAACUCCGUGCCAGCAGCCGCGGUAAUACGGAGGUUCCGAGCGUUAUCCGGAUUUAUUGGGUUUAAAGGGAGCGUAGGUGGAUUGUUAAGUCAGUUGUGAAAGUUUGCGGCUCAACCGUAAAAUUGCAGUUGAAACUGGCAGUCUUGAGUACAGUAGAGGUGGGCGGAAUUCGUGGUGUAGCGGUGAAAUGCUUAGAUAUCACGAAGAACUCCGAUUGCGAAGGCAGUUCACUGGACUGCAACUGACACUGAGGCUCGAAAGUGUGGGUAUCAAACAGGAUUAGAUACCCUUGUAGUC
rnacentral:rRNA from 1 species